CCGUCUCGUUCAAUUCCGGCUGGCAUACUCUGUUCCUCUCCGGUGAGUCAUCCCAUCCGUCCGAUCUCCCUCCGACGGUCUAGAUUAGAUCAGUGCUGUUUUUUUCUCUAUAAACCGGUAUGCACUAUUUAGUGGACGUUCGUCGGUUAGCCACAGCAGCAAACAACCUCCAGCCAAUCAUCAUGCGACACGUGGCACGUCCACGGCAGCCACGGCAGUUCUUCCCGAAACGCUUUUAUGGCAUAAUUGUUCUUUGCAGAUUCCAUAUCAAAUUUUCAUUUAGGUUUAUCUUGACAUCCGGAACUCCAAAUUCAUCGAUUCUUUUUCCUGUGUACUCGUAGAGACCAGAAGAAUACCGCAGAAUCAAAAUUUCACAUUGUUGAACUAUUCAAAUAUGAAGUUGUUUAAAUUUGAAUUCAAACUUCCGGAGGCCAUAUCUUUUAAACCAUUGAUCCAAUUCAGUUGAUUCUUUUUGCAUUGUGAUUCUGCCAGCAUGUAGAUGAUAUAUACCUACUGAUAAGUUCUGUUAUUUAAGUUUUUAUUUGAAUUUGUUGCUGUUUACUUUAUUGUGGUGUUAUGGGAGUACGGUUUAUUUACCGGUGCCUUCGUUAAUCGUAUAGAUUGUCCGGAGUGUGAAGCGGAUCAGAAUUGAGCGUUAGAGUACUUCAACAGCGUUCAAGGCAAGUUGCACUUUUUGAUUAUGCUCAUCUUAUAUUCUGCUAUGCAUGUGUGGUUUUAUGCUAUGAUAUAUGUGUUGGCCUGAUAUGUGUACCCCGUGUUGUCAUGUUUGGUCUUGAUUGUGCUCUGUGAUGGUGUGAUCAACUUGCCAUGGUAGACGUGGGCAUGUCUCGAGUGAUCCAUGAAAGUGAUGAGUGUUUAUAGCCGUAGGCUCGGGAUUAUUAACCAGGUGAAUGCGUCACUGGCAGAGCGCUCUAUUGCCCCUAGAGAAUGCGCCAUUGACAGAGCGCACUUGAGGCGAGGUUUAGUUUUUGGAACUUAAAUCAGGUGAAUGCGUCCUUGGCAGAGUGCUCUAUUGUUCCUAGAGAAUGCGCCACUGACAGAGCGCACUUGAGACAUACUUCUGAAGUUCUUGUCAUGUUUAUUUAGAAUCUUUGGGUUAUCUUGGGCGAGUAAACUAGAGACGGUUGUGAGUUCAGGUAGUGGAGGUAGGUGAGGACAUUCUUCUCCAAACUAACUUGUGUGUUUUGUUUGUCAUACAUUGCUUUGUGGAUGUAGGUUUGAUAUAUCAUUUUGUGUGAUUUGCCAAUACAUUCAAUGUAUUGACCCUUUGUGGUUGCAACUUAUCAUGUUGCGGGAUUUUCAGAUGAUCAGUCAGAUACAGUAGGGUCGCGAGCCAUCACUCGACAUGUUCUCUAGUGGGCAUUGAUGGACUCGUCGUUUAUUAUGCUACCUUUCCGCUGUUAUUAUUGAAUAAGUUAGCUAUGUGCUACUCAGUUUGUAAUAUUUUAUAAAUUCUGGAUCAUACGUUAUAGUAAAUGAUGC
rnacentral:lncRNA from 1 species